UGGGAAUAUUGCACAAUGGGCGCAAGCCUGAUGCAGCAACGCCGCGUGAGGGAAGACGGUUUUCGGAUUGUAAACCUCUGUCUUUGGUGACGAAGAAGUGACGGUAGCCAAGGAGGAAGCCACGGCUAACUACGUGCCAGCAGCCGCGGUAAUACGUAGGUGGCAAGCGUUGUCCGGAUUUACUGGGUGUAAAGGGCGUGUAGCCGGGUCGGCAAGUCAGAUGUGAAAUCCACGGGCUUAACUCGUGAACUGCAUUUGAAACUGUUGAUCUUGAGUAUCGGAGAGGCAAUCGGAAUUCCUAGUGUAGCGGUGAAAUGCCGUAGAUAUU
rnacentral:rRNA from 1 species